rnacentral:rRNA from 1 species
AUGUCAGACAUAUUUGCUUUGGGUGUAACUAUCAUGGAGGUAAUAACGGGAAACAGGGAGUACCCAUAUGAUAUUAGAACAUCUUCAACGGAAUUCAUUGAGCAUGAACUUCAAAAGUGGAGAAAUGUGCUGCAAAAACAACAUGGGUAUACAUCGCUUGAAAUAGAUUGCCAACAAAUAACAAGAUGCAUUCAGGUAGGUCUAAUCUGUGUGAAUCCUGAGCGGACCAAAAGACCUACAAUGAAGAAAAUUAUAGAUAUGCUUCAAGGUUCGAAAAGUAUGGAUUGGUACAUUAGCAAUGAGUUAUCAAGCCCGAACAUCCAGGUGGAGGCGCCAUAA